rnacentral:misc_RNA from 1 species
UUUCCGUAGGUGAACCUGCGGAAGGAUCAUUAUUGUAUAACCGAGGUGCGAGGGCUGUCGCUGACCCGAAAGGUCGUGCACGCCCGAGUGCCCUCACACACAUCCAUCUCACCCCUAUGUGCACCACCGCGUGGGUACCCCUUUGGCGUGUUCGGAGGGGGGCUUACGUUUUCACACAAACUUUGUAUGCAGUGUAGAAUGUAUUUUUUGUUUUUGCGAUCACGCAAUCAAUACAACUUUCAACAACGGAUCUCUUGGCUCUC